rnacentral:rRNA from 1 species
UACGUAGGGGGCAAGCGUUGUCCGGAAUCAUUGGGCGUAAAGCGCGUGUAGGCGGCUCGGUAAGUCUGCUGUGAAAGUCCAGGGCUCAACCCUGGGAUGCCGGUGGAUACUGUCGAGCUCGAGUCCGGAAGAGGCGAGUGGAAUUCCUGGUGUAGCGGUGAAAUGCGCAAAUAUCAGGAGGAACACCAAUGGCGAAGGCAGCUCGCUGGGACGUGACUGACGCUGAGACGCGAAAGCGUGGGGAGCGAACAGG